rnacentral:lncRNA from 1 species
UGAGGUUGUUCUUUUCUCUGCAAAGUCACAGAGGAAUAAAUGAUUUCAUUAAUUGUCUCUCACUAUAUUGCACACAACGUGCAAAGAGAGAUAUAAUGCCUUUUACAAAACUGAGCUGGAUCAGUACAAUUUGAAAUAGAUCUCAGCCACACAUUCAGCUAAUAGCUAAGAUCAUCACACAUGGCACUCAUGGCCUUUUAUACCUAUAUACCCUCUCACUUAGUAUUUAACAUAAGUGCAUACACAUAUUAACAUCACAACUUAUUUCUAAUCAGAUUUUGGACUUAUACUUCAACACUCCCCUUUAAGUCCAAAGCUGAUAUAACUCCUAGCUUGUCCCUGAGAUAGUUAAACCUGUCCUUUGGUAAUGCCUUGGUGAAAAUGUCUGCCACUUGUUCUUUGGUAGGACAGUAAACCAAGUCAAUUAUCCCUUGCUGCAAGGCAUCCUUGAUGAAGUGAUAUCUCCUGUCAAUGUGUUUUGUCUUCUGGUGAAACACAGGGUUCUUGGAUAUUGAGAUUGCAGAUGUGUUAUCACACUGCAGAGGGGUUGCAUCAACUUGUAACUCUCCAAAAUCUUCCAGAACAAAUCUGAGCCAUAUGGCCUGAGCUGUGGCUUCAGAAGCACUGAUAUACUCGGCUUCUGCAGUAGAAAGAGCAACACAGUGUUGUUUCACAGAGGCCCAUGAGAACACUCCACUUCCAAAAGAAAAUGCAUAGCCUGAGGUGCUUUUGCUGUCUUCAAGAGAUCCUCCCCAGUCACUAUCGCAAAAACCAAUUAAGACUGCCUUCUUGCCUUUCUCAUACUUCAAACCAUAGUCCAAUGUGCCCCUAACAUAUCUGAGCACUCUCUUAGCUGUUCCAUAGUGUUUAUUGGUAGGACAAUGCAUAUAUCGAGCUAAUAAACUAGCUGCAUACAUUAUAUCCGGUCUUGUAGCAGUAAGAUACAGUAAACUGCCUACAAGCUUUCUGUAUUUCUCUUCAUCUGCUGCACCACUGCCAUCUUCUUUACUCAACUUUUCAGUAGCCACAAGAGGUAUAGAGACAGAUUUACAUUCUUUCAAUCCAAACUUAUCCAACAGGGAAGAGGCAUACUUCUUUUGAUGAAUGAAGAUGCUAGAUUCUGUUUGAAUUAUCCCCAUUCCCAGAAAAUGAUGAAGAAGGCCCAAGUCUGACAUCUCAUACUUCUCCUUCAUAUCUUCUUUGAACUCAUCCAACAUGUCUUGAUUGUUUCCAGUAUACACAAUAUCAUCCACAUAUAUGGAGACUAUUAGUAUAUCCUUUUCUCCCCUUGUCUUAGUGUAGAGAGUUGCUUCACUUAAGCUUUUCUCAAACCCACACUUAGUAAAAUAACUGUCAAUCUCUCCAUACCAGGCUCUAGGUGCCUGUUUUAACCCAUAAAGAGCCUUAUGCAAUUUGUAGACCUUGUCCUCCCUGCCAUUAACUACAAACCCCUCAGGUUGAUCUACAUAUACUUCUUCCUGCAAUUCUCCAUUCAGAAAAGCAGAUUUAACAUCUAGUUGAUAUAAUUUCCAGCUUCUCUGUGCAGCAAGAGCUAUCAAGGUUCGGAUUGUGUCCAAUCUUGCAACCGGGGCAAAAGUCUCAUUGUAGUCAAUUCCUGGUUUCUGCACAUACCCCUUGGCAACUAGUCUUGCCUUGUUCUUUUGGACUGAACCAUCUAAGUUCAACUUAGUUUUGAACACCCAUUUAACUCCAAUCACCUGCUUAUCACUUGGUCUGUUAACAAGCUCCCAAGUUCCAUUCUUCUCAAUCAUUUGCAGUUCUUCUUCCAUUGCCUUUAUCCAAGCCUGAUCUUGUGCAGCUUCUUCGAAUUUUUCAGGUUCCACAAUACAGAGAUUGCACUGUGCCAUAAUAUCAUUUAUGUUUCUCCAUUUCACUGGAGUAUGAUCAUAAGACUGAGGGAUCUCAACAGAUUCUUGAAUGCUGCUUUCUUGUUCUUCAGUAUGAGAGGAGGUAUAGGAACUGGAGGCACUGUCUUGAAUCUCACCCAACUCAUGUGAAUUCUGAAUGUGGGUCACAGCAACAGAAUUCUCUGAAUGUUUCUUCCAAUUCCAGGUUAUAGUUUCAUCAAAAACUACAUCUCUUGAAAGAAUUAACUUCUUAGUGCAUGGAUCAAACACUCUGUAUCCCUUCUCACAUGUAGCAUAUCCAACAAACACACCUUUGACACUCUUAGCAUCUAGCUUCUGUCUUAUUUCAGAUGGUAUAUGCACAUAGCAUACUGAUCCAAACACCUUUAAAUGGCCAACCCCUGGUUUUCUGCCACUGUAAGCCUCAAAUGGUGUUAAAUUAUUGAGUGCCUUUGUAGGUGAUCUGUUCAAAAUGUACACAGCUGUGUGUACUGCUUCUGCCCACAGAAAGUAUGGCAUGCUUUUAUCAUGAAGCAUUGCCUUAGCCAUUUCUACAACCGAUCUAUUCUUCCUCUCCACUACUCCAUUUUGUUGUGGAGUGUAGGCCAUAGAUAACUGUCUUUGAAUCCCUGCAUCUUCACACAGUUUGUUGAAUUCACAAGAUGUGAAUUCUCCCCCUCUGUCACUCCUCAAACAUUUUAUCUUAAAGUCACUUUGUAAUUCCACCAUGGACUUGAAUUUUCUAAAACAUAUCAAUGCAUCUGACUUGUAUUUCAGAAAAUAAACCCACAUCAUUCUUGUACAGUCAUCUACAAGAAGCAUGAAAUAUUUGUUGCCCGCAAGUGAAUCAUUCUGCAUAGGACCACACAAAUCCACAUGCACCAGUUCUAGAGGUUUACUUGCUCUCCAUGCUUGAUUCUUUGGAAACCACUCUCUAUGUUGUUUCCCAAACUGACAACCUUCACAAACUUCAUCCAUUUCUUCUAAAACUGGGAGACCAUGCACCAUUUCUUUGUUUUUAAGCUGCUGAAGACCCCUAACAUGCAGAUGGCCUAGUCUCUUGUGCCAUAUCCAAGUAGACUUAGAAAUACCUGCCCUCAGUACAACCUGAUCAUUUGGUAUCAGUGUCAAGGGGUAACACCUGUUCUUUUUCAUUUCAACUUUGAGUACAAGACAAUCCAAUGAAGGUCCAUCAAAAAUACUGCACAUUUUUCCCCCAAAUAACAGAUAGUAACCGUGUUCAUCCAUCUGCCCCACACUUAACAGAUUUUCCUUCAACCCAGGUAGAUACAUUACAUCUUUGACAUAUUUUCUGCCUUUGCUAGUAUCUAUCAUAAGUGUUCCAAAACCUGCCACAUUCAUGAGUUCCCCUGUGGGCAUUUGAACCUUGCCAACCACAUUUGUCUUCAUGUCUAUUAACAAAUUAGAAUCCCCUGUCAUAUGGUUGCUACAACCACUGUCUACAUACCAUUCUCCAUUCACUUUUGAUUCAGUGAUUGUGCUAUUUGCAUAAAACAGGUUCCCUGUCACCUCUACCUGAUUAGCAUUAUUUGCCUUUUGCACUAAUUUACCUACUGUGUACUCUCUAGCCCAGUGACCAAACUUUUCACAGUUAUAGCAUUUAGGUUUCCCUUUAUACCUACACUCUCCAAAGUGAAACUUAGAACAUACCCUGCACUGUGGUUUUGUACCUAUCUGCCCCAUUGACUGUGCAUUAUGUGCAGGACUAGCAGGAAAUUUCUGCUGAAACUUAGGUUUUGAACCCCAUUUCUUGCCCUUAUUAUUCCAUUUUUUCUGGAACUGAGAUGAACCAGAUUGACCUUCACCCCUAUUCUGCUCUUUUGAAUUCACUGAGAAAGAUGAGAAUGCUUUCCCAGUAGUAUCAACAGUAUGCAGAUCAAACCGUUGUUCUUGACUCUUCAAGAUUGCAACUACUUCCUGCAAUUCUACAGUCUCUAGACACUUUGUGUUUUCUAUAACCAAACAGAUAGAAUCAUAAGGUUUACUAAGACUAAUCAGAACCUUCUGCACAAGUCUCUCAUUCGACAGAGAUUCACCAAAUGUUCUCAUUUGAUUAAUUAGCUCAUUCAGCCGUGUAAGAUAGCUAGAUAAAGACUCAUCAUCUCUCAUCCUAGCAUAUUCAAACUCUCUCCUAAGAUUCUGCAAUUUCACAGAUCGUACCUGAUCACCACCAUGAUACUCCCCGUAUAACAAAUCCCAUGCCAUCUUAGCUGAUUCGGCAUUGGCGAUUCGUGGGAAGAUCUGAUCCGAGACUGCAUUUUGAAUGAUUCCUAGAGCCUUCGCAUCCUUCAUGAACACAGCAGCCAUUUCUUCAUCGACUGCAUCGUCCGAUGACCCUUCAACUUCCUUCUUCUUCUUCGAGUCAGGGGUUGUAAUCCCUUUGUCCACCAGCUUCCAUAACCCAAGCGAUUUGAAUAUCGUUACCAUCUUAAUCCGCCAGAACUCGUAGUUCUCACCAGAGAAGAUUGGGGUUCUCACCUCCGAGCUUCCAGAUCCAGACAUCUUGAUCCGUCUGUUGCUUUCUCGCCUCAAAUGAAAACUCCGGCGACUUUCACCGAGCUUUGACUUAGCUUAGUGACUUCACAGCUUCACGCCCAGAUUCAAUUGAUCGAAAAUCGGCUCUGAGGCCAUGUUACAAUUUGGUAAGGUUAAUUCUAUGGAAGAAGAGAAGAUGAAUAGUUUUGGAAUGAAACAGGGAGAGAAGAAUGAGGUUGUUCUUUUCUCUGCAAAGUCACAGAGGAAUAAAUGAUUUCAUUAAUUGUCUCUCACUAUAUUGCACACAACGUGCAAAGAGAGAUAUAAUGCCUUUUACAAAACGGAGCUGGAUCAGUACAAUUUGAAAUAGAUCUCAGCCACACAUUCAGCUAAUAGCUAAGAUCAUCACACAUGGCACUCAUGGCCUUUUAUACCUAUAUACCCUCUCACUUAGUAUUUAACAUAAGUGCAUACACAUAUUAACAUCACAACUUAUUUCUAAUCAGAUUUUGGACUU